rnacentral:rRNA from 1 species
ACGGAAGGCAGCAGUGAGGAAUAUUGGUCAAUGGACGCAGGUCUGAACCAGCCAAGUCGCGUGAGGGAUGGCGGUCCUAUGGAUUGUAAACCUCUUUUGUCGGGGAGUAACGUGCGGUACGUGUACCGUAUUGAGAGUAUCCGAAGAAAAAGCAUCGGCUAACUCCGUGCCAGCAGCCGCGGUAAUACGGAGGAUGCGAGCGUUAUCCGGAUUUAUUGGGUUUAAAGGGUGCGCAGGCGGCGCGUCAAGUCAGCGGUAAAAGGUCGGGGCUCAACGCCGGCCGGCCGUUGAAACUGUCGUGCUCGAGUUCGUGCGAGGAGGGCGGAAUGCGUGGUGUAGCGGUGAAAUGCAUAGAUAUCACGCAGAACGCCGAUUGCGAAGGCAGCCCUCCAGCACUGGACUGACGCUGAGGCACGAAAGCGUGGGUAUCGAACAGGAUUAGAUACCCUGGUA